AUUUAUUCAUAGCCUCUGGAAGUAUUGGGAAAAGCAUGAAGUAGCAGCUGAAUAUCUAGCGAAGGGUAGAGCGAACAGUGAGAAAUCAACGUCCGUACCGUUUUUUUUAGUUGGAGAAGACUAUUGACGACAGAUUUAUAAAAAAUGGUCGAUGUUUUUCCAUGGGAGUAAUCGGGAAAAACUGAAGGAAGAUGGGGUUGGUUGCGUAGAAGCCGGAGACAAACCCUCGAGGGAUUUGAGGUUUGGAUUAAGAGGGGGGGAAGUACGAGGUUGCGUUUCAAUCUCAAUGAGCGAUAUUCUCGGAUUUGAAACCCAAAACGCCAUUGGAGUUCUCGAUUCCAAACGACUAAAAAGCGUACAUAAAAUCAUACAAAAACAGACCCAAAUAGUAAUAUUUCGAGGUCAAUCCGACAGCGGCCAGGAACAACUGUGAGUAGUAGCUGAUAAUCUGUGACCGUGGUAGGAAAAUUGCACGAGCCUGUAUGUCGUGGGUCGGUCGGUCACUCGAUUGUGUUUGUCGGCUCGAGUGUCAUUGUUUUGGGUGGUAUUGUUCGGUGCUCAUUUGGAUCGAGCUGCACGUGGCAAAUUCGCGGUCCAAUUUUCGCAAGGCAGCGAUGGAGCGAAUAUGAUGCCCCUUUUGUGACACUCAUAAACUGAAGGGACAAUUGUCAUCCCAUUAUAGAUCCAGAAGGAAAUUUCUCAAAAUGUAAUUAAAUUGAGAAAUUAUUCUAGAGGCGCAAAAUAAUUGUGAUUUAUUAUUCAACAAAAAUCAUGAAAUUUGCAUACGUGGAGGCUACAAUUUAAUAAUUUUCUCCUAUUUUUGAAUC